GGGGAAUUUUCCGCAAUGGGCGAAAGCCUGACGGAGCAAUACCGCGUGAGGGAGGAAGGCUUUUGGGUUGUAAACCUCUUUUCUUAAGGAAGAAGAUCUGACGGUACUUAAGGAAUCAGCAUCGGCUAACUCCGUGCCAGCAGCCGCGGUAAUACGGAGGAUGCAAGCGUUAUCCGGAAUUAUUGGGCGUAAAGAGUCCGCAGGUGGUCAGACAAGUCUGCUGUCAAAGACCAGAGCUCAACUCCGGAAAGGCAGUGGAAACUGGGAGGCUAGAGUCCGGGAGGGGUAGAGGGAAUUCCCAGUGUAGCGGUGAAAUGCGUAGAGAUUGGGAAGAACACCGGUGGCGAAGGCGCUCUACUGGACCGGAACUGACACUGAGGGACGAAAGCUAGGGGAGCGAAAGGGAUUAGAUACCCCUGUAGUC
rnacentral:rRNA from 1 species